rnacentral:tRNA from 1 species
AAGUCCUAGCUUAAUUAAAGUAUCUGAGUUGCAUUCAGAGGAUGCAGGGUAGUGUCCUGCGGAUUUUA